rnacentral:lncRNA from 1 species
UGAAACACAAGAAAAAGGAACACAAUCCAAACUAAUAUAUUUGUUAAUGCCUUUGGAACUCAAGCCAUCCUCGGGAAUAAAUUGGGAACACUAUUCUCCAUACAAAAACCGAUAGAAGUUAGAGGGCUAAUAUGACCUGUAUCCACCAGUGGAUUGGAGAGACUAGAAGAAAGAUGCUCUGGAGCCAAUUCAACAAUAGAGUCUGACGUCCGCUGAGCGUUUGGUACACCUACAAUCAGUCUGCUCCAUGUUGGCCACUUUAAUCUAUAAGUCACCACUCCUAUGAGGAAGAUGUAAAUGAGAAGCUAUCUAAAUCAGAGUCCAACUGUGCUGGACUGCUAGUCAAAUCACAAGUCAAAGAAGAUGGAAAAGAUAUUCCUUUAGUCGAUUUCAAACUCACACCAACCAGAGAAAUUUAUGCUUAGCCGUUGAAGGAAUAGGGGAGAGCGAGGAAUAAGCUUCCGAGUAUCCAAUAAAUAUUAACUUUCACUUAACAUGAAUGUUUAGUAAUUCGUAACCAUCUUUGAACUAACCAUUUGAAACUUCUUGUAUGAAUAUCUUUUCUUGAUUGUUUAACAACAUUCUUUUAAAUAUAUAACAUCUCUUAACCGACUCAUGAUAAGUAUACUAUAUUCAAAGUUUAAUUAUGGACGAAGCUUCGAGAGAUUUCUGCAUUUUUCGAACGAAG